UCCGGCUUUCACCGGCUGUCUCUCUAGAGUGCCCAGCUUGACCUGCUGGCAACUAAAGAUAAGGGUUGCGCUCGUUGCGGGACUGAACCCAACAUCUCACGACACGAGCUGACGACAACCAUGCACCACCUGUCACCAUUGUCCCGAAGGAAAGGCGUAUCUCUACACCGGUCAAUGGGAUGUCAAGCCUUGGUAAGGUUCUUCGCGUUGCUUCGAAUUAAACCACAUGCUCCACCGCUUGUGCGGGCCCCCGUCAAUUCCUUUGAGUUUCAGUCUUGCGACCGUACUCCCCAGGCGGAGUGCUUAUUGGGUUUCCUUCGGCACUGAGGGUGGUACCCCCCAACACCUAGCACUCAUCGUUUACGGCGUGGACUAC
rnacentral:misc_RNA from 1 species